rnacentral:rRNA from 1 species
ACCAAAAACACAGCUCCCUGCGAACUCGUAAGAGGAUGUAUAGGGGGUGACGCCUGACCGAUGCGAGAAGGUUAAAGGUGGGGGUGUCCCCGCAGCAAUGCGGAGUUGCUCACUGCCCGAAGCCCUCGUCAAUGUCAGCAGUAACUAUAACUGUUCUAAGGUGGAAUUCCUGCCUUAGUAAAAUUCGGCUAUAUGCUGGAAUACCCGCGCAUAUUACAAUACUUAAUUUAAGUAACAAUUUGUAAUCGAUGCGGACAAUCAGCAGGAAAGACUAAAAACUUUAAUAAAAUUUUUAGAAUCCUCAGAGACUAUAUGCCGAACUCCGACCACGGUCGGAGAAGAUAUAGUCCGAACUUUAUGGCGACAUAAAGAAUUGUCCAAUCAUGGAAUUUGGGCAGAAUAACAUAUUUGAGCGCAUUUCCUUUUCAGGUAAGUUCUGAAGCGCACGAAAGGCGUAACGACUGGGGGACUGUCUCAACGAGAAGCUCGGUGAAAAUGCGAUUCCCGUGAAGACGCGGGAUACCUGCAACGGGACGAAAAGACCCUAGGAGCUUUACUGUAGCUUGAUAUUGAUUUUAAGAUUUUGAUGCGUAGCGUAGUGGGUAGCCUUCGAAGUGCCGCUUUCGGGCGGCAUGGAGGCAACAAUGAAACACCCAUCUUUAAAAUUUUAAAAUCUAACCUGAACGGCAAAAACGUUCGGGAACAGUGUCUGGCGGGCAGUUUUUCUGGGGCGGAACCCUCCUAAAAAGUAACGGAGGGGUUUAUCAAGGUUGGCUAAGCGCGGAUGGAAAUCGCGCACGUCGUGUAAAGGCACAAGCCAGCUUAACGGCAAGGCUUACAAGCCGCGCCGGUACGAAAGUAGAACUUAGUGACCCGACGGCACUUUAUAGAAAGGCCGAAGAUAACGGAUAAAAGUUACCCUAGGGAUAACAGGCUGGUGUGGUCCGAGAGUCCAUAUCGACGACCACGCUCGGCACCUCGAUGUCGGCUCGCCCUAGCGCCCGGCUGGAGAAGGUCGGAAGCGUUUGGCUGUUCGCCAAUUAAAAGGGCACGCGAGCUGGGUUCAGACCGUCGAGCUCAUAAAACGAAAGUUUUGUGGUCUGGACGGUUUGAGCCCGAGGCAAAAGAAGACAAAAUAAGACAUCAUCACAGCGGCCAUAGAAAGUAAUUUUUAUGGACCACGCUAACUAAUAUCGGUGGAAUCCUAUAAUAAUCCCAUGGGACAAUACCGAGGGAACUUCGACACAGAGACAAAGAGUCGAAGAAAUCCGUAGAGACUAUACGUUAGCCCCGAGCACAUAAAGCGUUAUGUGCGCGGUGAAGAUAUAGUCCAAUGCACUUAGUAAUAAGUGAAAACAUGUGUGAAACAGGUUGGUCUCUAUCUGUUGCAGGCGAUGACGCUUGAGGGAAGUUGACCCUUGUACGAGAGGAUCAGGUUGAACGAACCUCUGGUCUACCGGCUUUGCCACCAGGUGAAGCGCCGGGUAGCUAUGUUCGGAAGGGAUAAGCGCUGAAAGCAUCUAAGCACGAAGCCCCUCCCAAGAUUAGGCGUCGCAGACUCGUGGAAGAUUACCACGUUGAUAGGCUUCAGGUAUAAACGCAGCAAUGCGUGAA